rnacentral:tRNA from 1 species
CGCUAAGAAGCUAAAUCGGACAGACAGCGUCAGCCUUUUAAGCUGAAGAUUGGUGCCUUCCAACCACCCCUAGCGA